ACCCUUUUAAAAGCACUCUGUGGGCUUUUCACUGCCAGCCACUGAGCCACCAAGAAAGGGCCAAGUUCAGACAUCGCUUCUGGGUGAAGUCACAGUGUUGUAUGUGUUCGGCUUCAAUCAAUAGUGUAAUAAUA